CCUACGGGAGGCAGCAGUGGGGAAUAUUGGACAAUGGGGGGAACCCUGAUCCAGCCAUGCCGCGUGUGUGAAGAAGGCCCUCGGGUUGUAAAGCACUUUCAGUGAGGAAGAACGCCUGGUGGUUAAUACCCAUCAGGAAAGACAUCACUCACAGAAGAAGCACCGGCUAACUCCGUGCCAGCAGCCGCGGUAAUACGGAGGGUGCGAGCGUUAAUCGGAAUUACUGGGCGUAAAGCGCGCGUAGGUGGCUUGAUAAGCCGGUUGUGAAAGCCCCGGGCUCAACCUGGGCACGGCAUCCGGAACUGGCAAGCUAGAGUGCAGGAGAGGAAGGUAGAAUUCCCGGUGUAGCGGUGAAAUGCGUAGAGAUCGGGAGGAAUACCAGUGGCGAAGGCGGCCUUCUGGACUGAAACUGACACUGAGGUGCGAAAGCGUGGGUAGCAAACAGGAUUAGAUACCCCUGUAGUC
rnacentral:rRNA from 1 species